CCUCCGGUAACUUAGUGGUUAGAGUUCUGGUAUGGUAGACCGAAGGUGGUGGGUUUGAUUCCCACCUGUGGCA
rnacentral:tRNA from 1 species